UCCCUUGUGGCUCAUUGGGUUAAGGUUCUGUGUUAUCACUGCUGUGGCCCAGGUUCGAUCCCUGGCAGGGGAA
rnacentral:tRNA from 1 species